rnacentral:rRNA from 1 species
UACGGAGGGUGCAAGCGUUGUUCGGAAUCAUUGGGCGUAAAGCGCGUGUAGGCGGCUUGGCAAGUCGGGUGUGAAAUCCCGGGGCCCAACCCCGGAACUGCAUUCGAAACUGCCUCGCUAGAGUCCCGGAGAGGAAGGCGGAAUUCCCGGUGUAGAGGUGAAAUUCGUAGAUAUCGGGAGGAACGCCAGCGGCGAAGGCGGCCUUCUGGACGGGGACCGACGGUGAGACGCGAAAGCUUGGGGAGCAAACAGG